GAUGGAAUGUACUAAGAGUGUUGAGGGAGCUUCUGGUGCCACUGUAAGGCCAGUUUUGAUUGCCUUUGAAGGCAAGGUACCUACUGGGAGAGAUUCCUGAUGAAUGGAAAAAAAUCAAACAUCCCUCUGGUCUUGAAGAAGGAGGCAAGGAACCCAAUGACCUUCUAUGACAAGAAGACAGGCUCAGUGAACAAGGGCAGAGCUUGAACUUAACAAGGCUUUCAGCACUGUCUUCAUUGACAAAAUCAUAAAGCUUAUAAUAGAUAAAUACACAGUGAGUUUGAUUUGAAGCUGGCUAAACUGUUUGUCUCAAAGGUUUGGGAUGAGCUGCAGGAAGCCCAGCUAGAGGCAGGGAUUUGGGGUAUAUCCCAGGAGUGAAGACUAAGACCAGUCAUUAAUGACUAUUAUGACUAAGACCAGUCAUUAAAGAUUAAUACAAGUGAUUAAUGACUUGUAUGACGGGACAGAGCACACCCUCAACAGCUUUGCAGAGGAUGCAAAACUGGCAGGAGUGGUUAUUGCAACAGCUCCUCAUGCUGCCAUUCAGAGGGGCCUGGACAGGUUGUAGAAAUGGCCUGACAGGUAUCCUACAACCUUCAACAAAGGGAAUUUCAAGUACUGCAGCUGGGGAGGAAUAGCCAUGGGGAGUAGCCAAAUUGACCUGGGCAUCUUUCACUAAGACCCUAGCUACAGAAACCUAUCUCUCCAAAUAUAGUAUCACUAAAUAAAUUAAAAUGUUAAGCCACAAUCUGGGGAGAACACCAGGUGUGGAAACUCAAAUUCUACGCAACUUUGGUGGACUUCAGUUGCUCAUUCUGAGAUAUUUCAUGGUUUCUUCAGGGAAGCACUAAUGAAAAUAUUACUGGAGGAAAUGCUUUGCUUCCUAGUAGGGUUUGUACCAGGCAUUCCUGAUGAGGAAAUCUGCAUGUGUGAUGUGUUGGAAGCCUUGCUGACCUUCAGCUCUUGCAGUAAUUUGAUGGCUCAGGAAAACAUUUUGUGAUAUUUUUUUAAAACUAAUAUGUGUUUGUGCCUUCUGGAACCAAUUCCAGCCAUUGACACAAAGAGAGAACAAACUGUUAGCAAACAUCUCCUACAUGUUUUUUGAAGAGGCACAUUUCUUUUGAGUUAUUCCCAGCCAAGAGAAAGCACCUGGCAUAUUGCUUCUGGUGAUGCCUGCCAGCUUCAGAGAGCAGAGUUAAUUAUGUUACACAUGAGUCUCCUCCUGGCGCGUUGUCAACAUCUGGAUGCCCUGGUUAUAUAUUUCAACCCAAGGAAACCUAAAAAGGCAAAGAAGGGCUGCUCACCACAGGCUGUGACACCACUGGAGACCCAGGGAUUACACAGAUCACCGUGGAUCCACC